GCUUUAAGAGUAGCCCAGUAGAAUAGCUCCAGUGACUAAGCGCCACCAUACUGAAUCACCCCCACCCCCUCAUAGUCAUAGCUUCACACUCAGAAUUCUUUUAGGAUGAUGUGUGUGUGACUUGGUUGGUAAAACUCUUUGUUAACACUCAGGGCUGAAGGUUUGAGGAAAGAUGCCUGGAUUGAGCCGUUUCCUCCUGAGCUUCUGUAUUCUAGGAUACAUUUUCUGCAGUUCCAGGGCUUGGCACGUAA